GAUUUGGAAAAUUCCGCUAAAGAGGGUGAAAGCCCCGUAGACGAAAUGCUGACAACACCUAGGAGGAUCCUGAGUACGGCGGAACACGAGAAAUUCCGUCGGAAUCCGCGGGGACCAUCCCGCAAGGCUAAAUACUCCCUAGUGACCGAUAGUGAACCAGUACCGUGAGGGAAAGGUGAAAAGCACCCCGGAAGGGGAGUGAAAUAGAUCCUGAAACCGUGUGCCUACAACAAGUCAAAGCUCGUUAAUGAGUGAUGGCGUGCCUUUUGUAGAAUGAACCGGCGAGUUACGAUUGCAUGCGAGGUUAAGUCGAAGAGACGGAGCCGCAGCGAAAGCGAGUCUGAAUAGGGCGAAUGAGUAUGUAGUCGUAGACCCGAAACCAUGUGAUCUACCCAUGUCCAGGUUGAAGGUGCGGUAAAACGCACUGGAGGACCGAACCCACGUACGUUGAAAAGUGCGGGGAUGAGGUGUGGGUAGCGGAGAAAUUCCAAACGAACUUGGAGAUAGCUGGUUCUCUCCGAAAUAGCUUUAGGGCUAGCCUCGGAAUUGAGAAUGAUGGAGGUAGAGCACUGUUUGGACUAGGGGCCCAUCUCGGGUUACCGAAUUCAGAUAAACUCCGAAUGCCAUUCAUUUAUAUCCGGGAGUCAGACUGCGAGUGAUAAGAUCCGUAGUCGAAAGGGAAACAGCC
rnacentral:rRNA from 1 species